UCCCUGGUGGCUCAGUGGUAAAGAAUCUGCCUGCCAAUGCAGGAGACACAAGUUCGAUUCUUGGUCUGGGAA
rnacentral:tRNA from 1 species